AUUGAACGCUGGCGGCAUGCUUUGCACAUGCAAGUCGAACGGUAACGCGGGGGCGAACCCUGGCGACGAGUGGCGAACGGGUGAGUAAUACAUCGGAACAUGUCCUGGAGUGGGGGAGUAGCUCGGCGAAAGACCGGAUUAAUACCGCAUACGCUCUGAGGAGGAAAGCGGGGGACCGUGGUAACGGGCCGUCGCGCUGCGGGAGUGGCCGAUGUCGGAUUAGCUAGUUGGUGGAGGUAAAGGACUCACCAAGGCGACGAUCCGUAGCUGGUCUGAGAGGAUGAUCAGCCACACUGGGACUGAGACACGGCCCAGACUCCUACGGGAGGCAGCAGUGGGAA
rnacentral:rRNA from 1 species